GCAGUCGUGGCCGAGUGGUUAAGGCGACGGACUAGAAAUCCAAAGCACAGGUUCGAAUCCUGUCGACUGCG
rnacentral:tRNA from 1 species